UACGAAGGGGGCUAGCGUUGCUCGGAUUGACUGGGCGUAAAGGGCGCGUAGGCGGUUCGUACAGUCAGACGUGAAAUUCCUGGGCUCAACCUGGGGGCUGCGUUUGAUACGUGCGGACUUGAGUGCGGAAGAGGGUCGUGGGAAUUCCCAGUGUAGAGGUGAAAUCGUAGAUAUUGGGAAGAACACCGGGUGGCGAAGGCGGCGACCUGGUCCGAUACUGACGCUGAGGCGCGAAAGCGUGGGGGAGCAAACAGG
rnacentral:rRNA from 1 species